UACGUAGGGGUGCAAGCGUUGUCCCGGGAAUUAUUGGGCGUAAAGAGCUCGUAGGCGGUCUGUCACGUCGGCUGUGAAAUCCCGAGGCUCAACCUCGGGUCUGCAGUCGAUACGGGCAAACUAGAGUAUUGCAGGGGAGACUGGAAUUCCUGGUGUAGCGGUGAAAUGCGCAGAUAUCAGGAGGAACACCGGUGGCGAAGGCGGGUCUCUGGGCAAUAACUGACGCUGAGGAGCGAAAGCGUGGGGAGCGAACAGG
rnacentral:rRNA from 1 species